rnacentral:rRNA from 1 species
UACGGGGGGGGCAAGCGUUGUUCGGAAUUACUGGGCGUAAAGGGCUCGUAGGCGGCCAACUAAGUCAGACGUGAAAUCCCUCGGCUUAACCGGGGAACUGCGUCUGAUACUGGAUGGCUUGAGUCCGGGAGAGGGAUGCGGAAUUCCAGGUGUAGCGGUGAAAUGCGUAGAUAUCGAGAGGAACACCGGUGGCGAAGGCGGCCUUCUGGACAGUGACUGACGCUGAGACGCGAAAGCGUGGGGAGCAAACAGG